rnacentral:rRNA from 1 species
UACAGAGGUCUCAAGCGUUGUUCGGAUUCAUUGGGCGUAAAGGGUGUGUAGGUGGCGCGCUAAGUCGGGUGUGAAAUUUCGGAGCUUAACUCCGAAACUGCAUUCGAUACUGGCGUGCUUGAGGAUUGGAGAGGAGACUGGAAUUUACGGUGUAGCAGUGAAAUGCGUAGAUAUCGUAAGGAAGACCAGUGGCGAAGGCGGGUCUCUGGACAGUUCCUGACACUGAGACACGAAGGCCAGGGGAGCAAACGGA